CGGGGGGCAGCAGUGGGGAAUAUUGGACAAUGGGCGAAAGCCUGAUCCAGCCAUGCCGCGUGUGUGAAGAAGGUCUUCGGAUUGUAAAGCACUUUAAGUUGGGAGGCGUUACCGACAGAAUAAGCACCGGCUAACUCUGUGCCAGCAGCCGCGGUAAUACAGAGGGUGCAAGCGUUAAUCGGAAUUACUGGGCGUAAAGCGCGCGUAGGUGGUUUGUUAAGUUGGAUGUGAAAUCCCCGGGCUCAACCUGGGAACUGCAUUCAAAACUGACUGACUAGAGUAUGGUAGAGGGUGGUGGAAUUUCCUGUGUAGCGGUGAAAUGCGUAGAUAUAGGAAGGAACACCAGUGGCGAAGGCGACCACCUGGACUAAACUGACACUGAGGUGCGAAAGCGUGGGGAGCAAACAGGAUUAGAUACCCUUGUAGUC
rnacentral:rRNA from 1 species